rnacentral:rRNA from 2 species
AACGCUGGCGGCAUGCCUAAUACAUGCAAGUCGAACGAGCUUCCGUUGAAUGACGUGCUUGCACUGAUUUCAACAAUGAAGCGAGUGGCGAACUGGUGAGUAACACGUGGGAAAUCUGCCCAGAAGCAGGGGAUAACACUUGGAAACAGGUGCUAAUACCGUAUAACAACAAAAUCCGCAUGGAUUUUGUUUGAAAGGUGGCUUCGGCUAUCACUUCUGGAUGAUCCCGCGGCGUAUUAGUUAGUUGGUGAGGUAAAGGCCCACCAAGACGAUGAUACGUAGCCGACCUGAGAGGGUAAUCGGCCACAUUGGGACUGAGACACGGCCCAAACUCCUACGGGAGGCAGCAGUAGGGAAUCUUCCACAAUGGACGAAAGUCUGAUGGAGCAAUGCCGCGUGAGUGAAGAAGGGUUUCGGCUCGUAAAACUCUGUUGUUAAAGAAGAACACCUUUGAGAGUAACUGUUCAAGGGUUGACGGUAUUUAACCAGAAAGCCACGGCUAACUA